AAACAUGUUGUCCUCGCAUCUUCCUAAUGGUUUAUUUCUGUAGCCUACUCGUCUGCUWUAUGGGGAUUAAUGACAUGAAGGGACRUGUGUGUGUGUGACUUCUUUAUUAGACGGGUGUCUGAUAAAGAAGCUAAACCCAGAUGACUAAAUCAACCCGYGGGUUUCUGUUCAGCACCUUGGACAGCACCUUCCACUACAAGCACAGUACAUAGGUUAUCUGCCUCUCUCUUGACCGGACAGUAGAUUAUACGUUCCACCUAGCCCUAGGUGGGAAAACACAACAAUUAGAAACAGACAUGGCAAAAUCAGCAGCUAUCUUGCUGGUGUUAAUUUCCUUUUUGUACAUCCUAUCUCAAUCAGCCCAUGUGGUUGCAGGAUGGACAGACGAAAGGCUACCAAAGGCUGAAGUUACAGAGGACUCUAGGGAACUGCUGGGUGUCCUUCAUAACGUCCUAGAGAAACUCCAAAACAGAAGAAUGGCUGUGUGGGAAAGAAGACAAAGCCACCUUCCUAGUGUAAGCAAGCUAUUUCAGACACCACAGGUGAAUAGUUGAAUAGGUGAUYGAUUUCCCAAAUGUGUGGGUCAGACCCUCUGGUGGGUUGUGGGUGGCACCUUUUGGAUUGCGGGUCAAGACUACAUUCUAGCUAGAGCAUGUUCUGGGGGAAAUAAAUAAACACUCUAAAAGCU